rnacentral:lncRNA from 1 species
AUGGAUCAAACAGAUCGAUGGCUGAAUUGUACUGCUAUUUCGACAUCUUCUAUCACUAACCCAGUCGUGACCACUCUGAAACCUGUAACCAGUGUUUUUUUCCAUUCGCAAAAGGAAAUCAUGAAAUUUCCUCCCUACAAUAUCUCUGAAUCUUUCUUGUCAGCUGAAUCUCAACCUGAGUUAAGGAUUCCAUGCUCUAGUGUCUCUAACUGUAGCAAUGCAGUUCAAUCUAGUGAUCUCAGAAGGGUGAGGAGAACUUUUAGAAAUCCAUUUUCUAAGUAUGUUUCAGUAUCAUGUGACAAAAAUGUAUCAAAAACUCAGUCUAGCAGGGAGUUUUCUGGUACUUCUGUCAACUUAUUCUGUUGUAAGACAGGCCAGAGCAAAAACUUUAAGUACUCCAAUAAAUUGAACACCUCAAAUAACUCGUAUAAGUUUAAGUCCAUAAGGUUAAGUCUUAAUCAUACACUUUUUUCCAAGAAUUUAAGUAGAAAAAAACAUUACAUGAUUACCAACUCGAAAUUUCAAAAGAAAACAUCUAAUCUGUCCUUUGGUACAACUAAAUGCACAGUAGACAGUGAGUCAAUCUUGUCUGAUAGUUUGAAUUGUAACUAUUCUGGUGGUUUUCCCAAAAUUCUUGAGGUUGAUCCAUUGAUUACCACAGUAGAGCAUAAUGAUAGAAAGUCACUUAAACCUGAAAUUUACCGCACGUCUUCAAUUAGGUGUGAAAGUAGGUUAUACCACGUACAAAUUGAUGUUCAAGGUGGUGGCAUAACGUACCCAAGAACCUGUGAGAAAUGCAAAGCAAUUUUCCUCAGUCAAGCUUCAUACUCGGCUCAUAUUGAAAAGAAGCGCUGUGAACUACGAAUCAGUCAGACACAGAAAAGUUUGGGGGCAAAUCCAGAUGAUUCCAUACUUUUUGUAAAAGACAUUGACAAGUAUUUCCCACGUAGCAUUGGAGUUAAGUACCCAAGAACAUGUCAUAAGUGUAAAGCAACUUACUCCCACAAGACGUCAUAUUUUAGGCAUCUAAAGACUAAACGAUGUGAUCAAAUUAUCUACCAAAAAAAGCUUGCAGAAAAUCCAAAUUAUGCGCUUGAAAAUCCGGAACCAGAGAUUUUAGACAAACGUCCAGAUUUAUUUGUCUGCCCCGAUUGCAAUACUGCUUAUGUAAGCACACGAUCACUCAGAAAACACCGGAAAAAAACGUGCAAAAAUCGCAAAGUCUCUUUCAUUCCUUGUGUUCACCCCGGGUGUGAGAUCAAUUUCCAUCUUCAGCUUUCCAUGAUACGCCACUUAGCAGAUGCGCAUGGUGUGGAUUUGCAAAUUCAAAGGAAAAACUUCGCCAACUAUGACCAUUUUCUGGAAUGGAAAAAGUUUGAGGAAAGACGCACCUUCACCAUGCUAACAAAAAGGAGAGGAGAUUAUAUACAAGCUGGAAAAAAAUCUCAAUAUUACAGUUGCAUGUUCAACGUCCAAGAAAGGAAAACCUUGCCAGACCGCAAAUAUAAACAUGCACACAGCAAAGGGAAUCUUGUGAACACUUACUGCCCAGCAAGAGUGGACACUUUAGAAGGGCCAGAUGGUGUCGAAGUCACUUACUAUUCGUACCAUAACCACGAACUGAACCCUGAAAAUCUGAGGUAUUGCAAAUGGAACGAUGAGACAAAAGACUUGAUCAGUAAGAUGAUUGAAAUAAAGUCCCUGUGA